UUUAGAGGUGAUUUUAGAGGUGUUCUUCAUCUGGUACAAAAGGCUGACAAAGAAGACAACAACCAGGCUGAUUUCGUCAAGGGCCUUCGAUCGAGUCCAGAAGUCUCCAGAUUUAUUCGUUGCUGGUUCCGCUGCACCCAAGGUCCGUGGGAAGAGCCGGGAUCAUACUCCAACACCCUCUACAUGGAUGGUUCCUCCAACA
rnacentral:lncRNA from 1 species